rnacentral:rRNA from 1 species
UACGAAGGGGGCUAGCGCUGCUCGGAAUCACUGGGCGUAAAGGGUGCGUAGGCGGGUCUUUAAGUCAGGGGUGAAAUCCUGGAGCUCAACUCCAGAACUGCCUUUGAUACUGAAGAUCUUGAGUUCGGGAGAGGUGAGUGGAACUGCGAGUGUAGAGGUGAAAUUCGUAGAUAUUCGCAAGAACAUCCAGUGGCGAAGGCGGCUCACUGGCCCGAUACUGACGCUGAGGUGCGAAAGCGUGGGGAGCAAACAGGG